UUUUCGUAGGUGAACCUGCGAAAGGAUCAUUAUCGGCACAUCCCUGUUCGAAUUCGGAGGCGGCUCGAGGUCGCCGGAGUCUCGGAAGCAUGCGUGGUGGACGGCUCGGUUCCCGCGUCGAUGAAGGACGUAGCGAGAUACGAAAGGUGUUGCGAAUUGCAAGAUUUCGCGAGUCAAUGACCAUCCGAAUGCAUCGCCGCCCUCCCUUCGCCAUCGGUGGAGGGAGGACGCGUCGGCGACAUCGCCCAGCACGCCGCUGUCCGACUCCAGGACAGGCGCCCGUGGACGGAAGCACCCGAGAGGCGUGUCCGUUUUAGCAAGCGACCGUCGCACCGCGUGCCUCCAACGGCGUGCGGGACGGACGGCGAGAGGACGCAAGCUGCGAUGUCGUCGGCGAGGAAACCCGCUGAACUUAAGCAUAUCAUUAAGCGG
rnacentral:rRNA from 1 species